rnacentral:rRNA from 1 species
CGUACACUCCUACGGGAGGCAGCAGUGGGGAAUAUUGGACAAUGGGCGCAAGCCUGAUCCAGCCAUGCCGCGUGAGUGAUGAAGGCCCUAGGGUUGUAAAGCUCUUUCACCGGUGAAGAUAAUGACGGUAACCGGAGAAGAAGCCCCGGCUAACUUCGUGCCAGCAGCCGCGGUAAUACGAAGGGGGCUAGCGUUGUUCGGAUUUACUGGGCGUAAAGCGCACGUAGGCGGACUAUUAAGUCAGGGGUGAAAUCCCGGGGCUCAACCCCGGAACUGCCUUUGAUACUGGUAGUCUUGAGUUCGAGAGAGGUGAGUGGAAUUCCGAGUGUAGAGGUGAAAUUCGUAGAUAUUCGGAGGAACACCAGUGGCGAAGGCGGCUCACUGGCUUGAUACUGACGCUGAGGUGCGAAAGCGUGGGGAGCAAACAGGAUUAGAAACCCCGGUAGUCCCAUG